rnacentral:tRNA from 1 species
GCUGAUGAAGUUUUAAAUAUCGGUCUUGUAAACCGAAGAAGGGAAAUUAUAACCCCAUCAACUUA